GACGUAGGAGGCGAGCGUUAUCCGGAUUUACUGGGCGUAAAGCGCGUGCAGGUGGUUUGGAAAGUUGGAUGUGAAAGCUCCUGGCUUAACUAGGAGAGGUCGUUCAAAACUUCCAGACUAGAGGAUGGUAGAGGGAGGUGGAAUUCCGGGUGUAGUGGUGAAAUGCGUAGAUAUCCGGAGGAACACCAGUGGCGAAAGCGGCCUCCUGGACCAAUCCUGACACUCAGACGCGAAAGCUAGGGUAGCAAACGGG
rnacentral:rRNA from 1 species